CCUAGCCUCCUGUAAUUCUGUUUGUUUCUCAUUCGUGUAUUUUAUCUAGUAAGCCUUUUUGUUAAUGUAGAAUGCUACUUGCAUCUACGUGUCUUUUUUCCCUUCGUUUAUUGUCCACGUGUUCUUCUUCUCUCUUUCUUUUGGUUCGUUGUCCACUUCUUUUUGGUUCUUCGUUGUUACUGCCUCAGCCAUGGUCACCGCCCACCAUCCCAAACGGCUUGCUUCGUUCUUUAUUACACCACCAGUUCCUUCCACCGCUUUCAUUUUUGUUCCUCAUGCUUCCCCCACCGCCUCUCUUAUCAGAUGUCUUCUCCACCACCUACACAUACGUCUUCGACCGUACCUCCGGCCUCUGUGGCCUUCUUUCUAAUCGAAUCGGAGGAGAGGUCCUGUAGAUCACCGUCGUCUCCGAUUGAAUCAGGGAUAUUAAGACGUGUCGAUGAGCCACGGAGGUUGAAAACGGCGGUGUCGUACGCACGACCGGCGUCGACGUUUGUGGAAAAUAUUCUAUUCUCUGUCCACGUGUUGUUCAUCGUGCCUGGUUUUGCUUCCAUCUUUAUCUGUUAUCUGAACUUAGGGCUUUUAUCCCAUCCUCUCCUCUCCCUACCGGUCGCCGAAUAUAACUCUUUCUUCGUGGCUGAUUCGGAACGACUUGAAGGUAAUUUUUCUUUUACUUUGAGGGUAUCGGCUAUGGUGGUGGGGUUUCUUGGCCUUUGCGUACGUGAACAGGGCUGAAUAUUGGACAUUUAUGGAGGUGGUCACCGGUGCUUGAUAUCGAGUGCUAGGGGUGGUAUUGGGUAUGGUCGAAGACAUUCACUUGUGAGAAUCGGAGAAAGCAUUCGAAUGGGUUUCAUCUAAAGCACAUGAUGGAAAAUCAGUUACUUCAUCAGAAUUUAUAGCUUAUUUGCAGGUUGCUGCUUAGUCUUGGAUCAUUUAAUGUUUAUAAUUGUACCAGGAUGUACAUAACCUGUUACUGUAUGGUAUCCAAGGCAGGGGCAAAUCACCAAAUUACCCUUGAAUACAAUUUGUGGAGAAAUCUUCAUGCAUAAAUCCACAAUGUGACUGGAAUCCUACGCUUUGAACGCAAAAACAAAGCUGAAAUAAUGUCAUAAGAAAAUCUAUGAACCUUUUAUAUGUUAACAGUUAAAUUGUUGAUA